GAGCGUCUCUAUCAACCUACACGCCUCGCGUGGAAUUGGGUCUGCGGUCCGCUGCAGUCCUAAAGUCUAAGAGCGAUACCAGUCUGGUUCUAAGCGUAGUACAUACCCCGCUACAGGACUUCUCUGGUGCUCGGCCAUAAUGGUGCAAGCCCAUUAACAAGGUUGACCUCGGAUCAAGUAGGGAUACCCGCUGAACUUAA
rnacentral:misc_RNA from 1 species